rnacentral:lncRNA from 1 species
ACUGCUGCCGCCGCCCCCGGAGCUGCUGGUUUCAUUCGAGGUUUCGGGCCGCUCCUGGCCCUGCGGACGUCAGCGUCUAAUAAUUCUCCCGGUCUUCCUGAUUGCCUGAAAGAGUCGGGACGGUUCGGUUGAUUGUGUUUCCCGGUUAGGACUCGGUGUAGGAGAUCCAUCGAACCACUCGCUCAGGGUAAUGUUUAUGAAGCAGAUUAUGUUUAUGAAGCAGAUUAAAUGGCUUUUGGGAGGCAAGAGCUGUCAAAUGUUUUCUCAUAUGUGGAUUCCCUCCCUGUGCUGAAUACUUAGCUUUUUGGUGCUUACUGACACUUGUGUGGUAUUUUUUUUUCUCCCCUAUUAUAUAUCCCUGAGCACGGAAAUCUGUCCAUGGAGAAAAAUAUUAAUCUGAGGAACUGUCAAACACUGAACACCUAUGUAAUGCUCACUCAUUUAAGGAUGCCAGCCCCCAUCAGAUUGCGGGAGCUGAUCCGGACCAUCCGGACAGCCCGAACCCAAGCUGAAGAACGAGAAAUGAUCCAGAAAGAAUGUGCUGCAAUCCGGUCAUCUUUUAGAGAAGAAGACAAUACAUACCGAUGUCGGAAUGUGGCAAAAU